UGUGACUCUACAUCUUGGGAUAUGUCCUUCUGUCCUGAAGGAUUUAUUUACCUCUCAACUGCUUAUUUUUAAUUACAAAUUCAAUGUUUCUAAUAGAGACAUUCAAGUUAUCCAUUUAUCUAAAAUGAGUUGUAGCCUGGUUGACCAGCAGACCCAUGCCACUGGAGCCCAGGUCCCAGCCCAGUACCACCCCCGUUGAUCUACUGACCUAUACUGGAUCCAGGCCCUAGCCCAUCCGACCCCACUGCCCUAUAUGGGAGGCCAGAACCAAGUUAGGCCCAGGUCUGCCCCAUCUACCAGCAGACCCAUGCCAUCUAUACUGCAGCUGCAGCCCAGGUCAGGCCCGGCACCACGUCUGGGUCUACCUGGGAGCCCAAGCCUAGCCCACCUCCAUCUUGGACACUAUGGCAGCCACGGCCAUAGUCCUACCCAUGCAGUAGCCUCUACCUUGUGAUAACAGACAAGGCCUAGAAGCCAUUGCAUCUCGGAACAGGCAGCCCAAAGCGAUUGUAAGGCCCACCCUUUCAGACCCAACUCCCAAAGUGGUUGCAUCUAUCUUGGGACAUCCCCACUGUGAUCUUGCGUCAUCUCCACUAUUGCUGUCACCACUUUUAGUUGUAGUAGCAUCCACCAUGAGACACCAGCAAAGUCUGGAAGUCAAACACCAAGGUGAGGUAUACAGAUAAUCUGCAUGGACAGUAUAAGAGUAUAGGGUAGAAACUAUAAUACCUCAGAUCCAGCACUGCAAGAAAGGAAGACACUUAGACAACAAGAAAAAACAAGGGGAGAAAGUGCCCCAAAUAAACCAGGAUACUACAAUAAUAGAAUCCAUGGAUGGCACAGUUGAUCAAAUGUCAGAGAAGGAGUUCAGAAUAUACAUAAUUAAAAUGAUCUGUGAAUUAAAGAAAGACUUAAAUGAGCAAAUAUGUAAAAUGUGAUCACUCCAAUGAAGAGAUAAGAGAGCAAAUACAGGCAAUCAUUGUUCACUCCAACAAAGAGAUAAGGGAGAAAAU
rnacentral:lncRNA from 1 species